rnacentral:rRNA from 1 species
AGAGUUUGAUCCUGGCUCAGGAUGAACGUUGGCGGUGUGCCUAAUACAUGCAAGUCGAACGGAGUUAAUAGCAAUAUUGACUUAGUGGCGAACGGGUGAGUAACGCGUUGGUGAUCUGCCUCGAAGUGUGGAAUAACGUUCCGAAAGGAACGCUAAUACCGCAUGUGCUCUCGAUUUUUAGAAAGUUGAGAGUAAAGGAUUUAUUCGCUUCGAGAGGAGCCUGCGUCCCAUCAGCUGGUUGGUAGGGUAACGGCCUACCAAGGCUAUGACGGGUAGGGGACCUGAGAGGGUGGCCCCCCACAAUGGAACUGAAACACGGUCCAUACACCUACGGGUGGCAGCAGUAGGGAAUAUUAGAAAUGGACGAAAGUCUGAUCUAGCAACACCGCGUGUGCGAAGAAGGCCUUCGGGUCGUAAAGCACUUUUUGGAAGGAAUAGGAAGGAAUGUACUUCCAGAAUAAGUCUCGGCUAACUACGUGCCAGCAGCCGCGGUAACACGUAGGAGGCGAACGUUAUCCGGAUUUACUGGGCGUAAAGCGCGUGUAGGUGGUACUGUAAGUAGGGCGUGAAAGCUCCCGGCUCAACUGGGAGAGGCCGUUCUAAACUACAGAACUAGAGGAUGGUAGAGGGAGGUGGAAUUCCAGGUGUAGCGGUGGAAUGCGCAGAUAUCUGGAGGAACACCGGUGGCGAAGGCGGCCUCCUGGACCAUUCCUGACACUCAGACGCGAAAGCUAGGGUAGCAAACGGGAUUAGAGACCCCGGUAGUCCUAGCCCUAAACGAUGUAGACUAGGCGUCGGAAGUUUAAUCACUUUCGGUGUCCAAGCUAACGCGAUAAGUCUACCGCCUGGGGACUACGGCCGCAAGGUUAAAACUCAAUGAAUUGACGG